GAUGAACGCUGGCGGCGUGCCUAAUACAUGCAAGUCGAGCGAACAGAUAAGGAGCUUGCUCCUUUGACGUUAGCGGCGGACGGGUGAGUAACACGUGGGUAACCUACCUAUAAGACUGGGAUAACUUCGGGAAACCGGAGCUAAUACCGGAUAACAUUUGGAACCGCAUGGUUCUAAAGUGAAAGAUGGUUUUGCUAUCACUUAUAGAUGGACCCGCGCCGUAUUAGCUAGUUGGUAAGGUAACGGCUUACCAAGGCAACGAUACGUAGCCGACCUGAGAGGGUGAUCGGCCACACUGGAACUGAGACACGGUCCAGACUCCUACGGGAGGCAGCAGUAGGGAAUCUUCCGCAAUGGGCGAAAGCCUGACGGAGCAACGCCGCGUGAGUGAUGAAGGGUUUCGGCUCGUAAAACUCUGUUAUUAGGGAAGAACAAAUGCGUAAGUAACUGUGCACGUCUUGACGGUACCUAAUCAGAAAGCCACGGCUAACUACGUG
rnacentral:rRNA from 1 species